CGUGCUACCAUGCAGUCGACGGUGUCUUCGGACAUAGUGGCGGACGGGUGAGUAACGCGUGAGAAUCUGCCUUCAGGAUGGGGACAACAGUUGGAAACGACUGCUAAAACCCGAUGUGCCGAAAGGUGAAAUAUUUAUAGCCUGAAGAGGAGCUCGCGUCAGAUUAGCUAGAUGGUGGGGUAAGAGCCUACCAUGGCGACGAUCUGUAGCUGGUCUGAGAGGAUGAGCAGCCACACUGGGACUGAGACACGGCCCAGACUCCUACGGGAGGCAGCAGUGGGGAAUUUUCCGCAAUGGGCGAAGGCCUGACGGAGCAAUACCGCGUGAGGGAGGAAGGCUCUUGGGUUGUAAACCUCUUUUCUCAAGGAAUUAUAAAUAAUGACGGUCCUUGUAUGAAUCAUCCUCUGC
rnacentral:rRNA from 1 species